UUGAUACUCCCUCUGUUUUUUUUUAUAUGACACUUUUGACUUGUGCACGUAUCUUUGGGUGGAUUGACCGGGUAGUAAAACUUAUUAUUUUUAACUGGUUUUUUUUGUAAAUUAAAAUUUUGAUUACAUAUUUUUAUUCAGAAAAAGAAAAUUUCAAAAAUAAUACUUUUAACUACCCGGUCAAAGCACUUAAAAAUGUGUGCCAAAAAGUC
rnacentral:lncRNA from 1 species